rnacentral:lncRNA from 1 species
UUCCAUACCGUCAAGUGCUGAUUAUCCUUGAUGGGAAGGCCUUGAUUUUCAAUACAGUAGAUAAAGUUGAAAUGCUUUCUCUGUGGUAUUAAAUACAGAGUUAAAUGAGUAAAGGAUCCACCUACUUCUCUGUGGUAACCGAGUUCAUUUAUUUUUAAAACUUAAGAAAAUUUUGCUCUAAUUUCUGAUCAUUUUAAGGAAUCUACUUGCUUCCUUGUGCUAAAAGGAAGGGUUUUCAGGGACGAGAACGGUGACUUACCGGAUCAGGCCAGAUGCUGAUGGCGCAGGCAUGUAUAGUGUUGAGGUAACAUUCAUCUUCACCGUGCUUGAUUUACAAAAAAGAAAAAUAAAAAAAGGUGUUAAAAUUACAAAGCAAUGAAACUUCUGAUUAGAUGUUAUGGAAGUAGUAGAUCUCAACCUGGAAAAUGAUGGUCUUGUUAGGUUUUACAUAUUGAGCAUUGCCCCAUGGAACUAGCCUGAGAUUGAUAAUAUUGAGAAGAUCAGUGUUGAAGACCUUCACAAGUUGACUUACAAUGAAACUCCGGCAAUAUGGACAUAGAGACUCAUAAUAUAGAGACAAAUGAACCUUCUUUGGUUUGAUAUGAGAUUGGGCUUUGGUGACAUUGUUAUCUGGAGAGGAAUGAGAUUGAUAGAUGAAAAUGAAGUUUACAAGGAGAAGAAGGUAGAGUAACUUAGAAAAUGACAUUUUCUAGGGUCAUAAUAAGCUCUCAAACAUUUACAUAUAUAGUUGCUUAUGAAUGAUAUAUCUAUGCCCCGCAAUUGCUUUAUUUUGUAUUAAUAGCAAUGGCUAUGGUCCCCCUAUUUAAUCUUUAGUAUCUAUCUUCAUACAGCCAUAAACCAAGGUUUCUGUUGUGACAAUUUGCACAGGCUUUGCCUGGAAGCAGCCAUAUUUUCAAGUAAAACUUAUUCAAACAAAACAACCAAAAGGAUGUUGAUCUUUCAUUCAUAGAAUAGAAGACACCGUAAACAUAUCACCUGUAACAUGUCAUAUAUGUAAAAGAUAUCAACGAUAAUGAUAACUAGAAGCUGGUUUUAUUACAUGUAGUUGGUGAAUUGUGAAGCAGCUGUAAUGGACAAAGCACAAGUUCUGGCCUCUUUCAAGGUUCUAUCCCAAAUUUGCAAUUUCACUAGCAUAGCAUCCUGGAUGUAUUCUGUUUGCCAUCUUAUCAUGGGUUGAGCCGACACUGGUUGCUU